rnacentral:lncRNA from 1 species
CAUUUUGAUUCCUUUUCCGGAACAAGUUUGCAUCUCUGCUCGAUCCCUUCCCGCAGCCCACCGGUCCCCUCGGCGUCCUCGCCCGGGAGCCCCCAGCGCCCUGGCCUGGCCGUUGCUGCACUCUGCUCCAGAGGCGGUGGCUUUGAGGCGUGACCCUGCCCACGCUUCGCCCCGCCAGCACCAGCUCCUCAGCAAGGAGGGCCCGCUUGAGAAGACGAAUAAGACAGUGUCGACGAGAGAUACGAAGAGAAGAGAAAAAGGAGCCCCCCAGCCUCGCUGCCUCGUCCGUGCGCCCAACCCCUGCAGCAGAUGACGCGCUCAUAGUGCAUCAGCUGGGGCGGAGAAUGGAGUUCUGUGGCCGAGGCUUUCUAG